UUUUUCUAUCAGAUAUUAUGUGAAAGGACUUUCAGUUAAUAGGGUUUAACUCAUAAGGAAAAAAAUGAAAAAGAAGAAAGAAAAAAAAAAGCGAGAACGUUGUGGCGUCUGAGAGCACAAACUCCAGAUUUGAAAUAUUCGGAAGCUUUACGGAAGAGCAAGACCCUUACACAGUAGCUUGCUUUCGAGUUCUUCGGUUGAGUUUUUCAGAGGCUCAGACACGACCUCAUCUCUAGAGUUGAUAGAAAAUCUUGAUGCGAAGGGUGAGCAUUCCGUCUUCAGGCUGUCACUGGUCAUCUUUAUUAUUAUUGUCCAUCUUUCGGGCAAUGAGACAUUCCUAAUUUACUUUUAUUUAGAGAUCUCUUUAGACAUGAUUUUGUUAGUAGUUCUUGUAUGAUGACUUUCGGAUCUUGAGAAUUUUAAUAAGUAUUUUAUUUGACUUCCGCAUUAAUAACGAUUAAUCUUGAA